UACGUAGGGGGCUAGCGUUGUCCGGAAUCAUUGGGCGUAAAGAGCGCGUAGGCGGUCCGAUAAGUCCGCUGUGAAAGUCGGGGGCUCAACCCUCGAAUGCCGGUGGAUACUGUCGGGCUAGAGUGCGGAAGAGGCGAGUGGAAUUCCUGGUGUAGCGGUGAAAUGCGCAGAUAUCAGGAGGAACACCAAUUGCGAAGGCAGCUCGCUGGGACGUAACUGACGCUGAGACGCGAAAGCGUGGGGAGCGAACAGG
rnacentral:rRNA from 1 species